CCUCCUCCAGGGAAGUCACCCGGCUGCUGAGCUCCUGCUCCCUCCUCUCGGCCCGCUCCUGAACCUGCUGGCAUUUGGCUUCCACCUGUGUAUGUGUGCAUUUGUGUAAUAACUGGGAUCUGGCGUAUUCAGCAUCUGAAGUGAGCAGUAAGCAUCUGACGUACAGUGUACAGAACUACAUUACUGCAGUCUCUGCCCUUCACCCCUCUUACCACAGCUGGACAAGGUCACUCCGAAUCUUGUUACCCCACCCCCACCCUGACUCAUUUCACAAAUGUCAGUUUCAGCAUGUGGAUGAAAGACUUCAGUGCUGCUGCUAAUUUUCUACUCACAGUCCCUGAGCAUGUACUUAACAAAAGUGAAUCCAGGACACCAGCAAUGGUAGAAGAUAUUCCUGAGUAUGUGGGGCAGCGAUGAGAGGAGACCCUGAAUUCCCUUUAAAAACACAAUCACAUACAUUUAAUUCUUCCCAUUGAGCCGAGCGGUCAAGGUAUCAUUUCCUAUCUAACAAAAACAAGCCAUAGCACCGCUGUACAACUGGACAUGGGUGCUCCCCACAUAACCCCUGGCUAUAAAUAGCAAGCCAAUGACAGGAACUACCUGGAUAAUGAGUUGAACAGAGGAUGAGCAGCUAUAGAAAAGACAAGGGAGAAUCACCGCUCCAGGCUCUACAAGGACAUUGCAAGUAUGAGUCAAGGAAAGAGACGCUUCUGCCUCACAAAAUCAUAAUAAACCCAAACAGACAGAUUUCAAAUUAAGCAAUCCUAUUAGUUGUGUUCAUGUAGUUUUUGUAGCUACACCCUUACAGCAGACAUCAUAGACACAGGAAAGACAGAAGCCUCUUCACACAACACUUAUCAGUAAAUGUCAAUGAUUAAUAAACUGUAUGUAUCCACAUUAGUCAGUGCUAUAGUCUUACUGCCCAUCAGACCAGCCUCCCUUGGUGCUUUUUUGUGUCAAGCACAGACUGUCCCCGAACACAGCCCAGAAGGCAAAGACAGAUUUCCAACUAUUUCCCCUUCUUGGAUGGUUAACCAUGAGAAAAACCGAGGGUGUAAUUACCUACAAACAACAUUCACAUUGACUGCCUCAUAAAUGACUGGUGCGCUGCUCAUAUUUGAAGUCUCCUUUCUCCGGGCAUAAUCAAAAGGAACAGAAGAGAGUGAAAGCUGUCAUUUGUUGCCCAUUUGGUUUCUCCCAAAGGAUCCGAGCGCGCACCACUGCAAGGCUGGUCUCUUCUAUAAACAUAAGACUACAACGUAAGCUCUGCAAUUAGGAUUUUUUUACAGCUUCACUUUUUGUCUUUAUUGAGAUGUCCAAUUAUGCUGCACAGCAAGCCAUGGUAAUAGUUUAUUAUAAUUAUUAUUAUUAUUAUUAUCAUUCACUAUUUUAGACAGUGAUCUGAUGUUUCUGAACACUUACAAGUCAAUGUUACGUGGCAAGAGUAGAAUUACACACAGGAGCUUAGUCAGGAUAAUUUGCUAUAUUGAAGCAUUUAAGUACCUAUUAAAAACAUAAACAGCAAACCUUAACAAAUAAGCACAGUAAACACAACAAGACCUUGUUUGAGUGCUUCACAUGGCACUGAUCUAAUGAGGAACAAACGGCUGACUGAUCAUGUGAAGAAAAACUGCUCGCAGCGCACUGAAGUGGUUCCAAAGGCAACUUGCCAUUGCCAGCAAAAUGUGAAAUUUACAUUAAAACACAGGAAAGCUUGAGCAGUAGAGCUUAUUCGGUAAAUGAAUUUGUAACUUGAUCCGCCAGUAUAUUCCCAGGUUUGUGUCAGGAAGGAAAGUAUGGGAAUCCUACAAAGAAGGUGCUAAACAGCGCCUAUAAAGAUCUCAGAUUAAACCUUUCAUUGAUAUAUUCUUUGUAAUAUAAUGAUAAAACUAAAUAUGUGUAUUGUUAAAAGAACUUGAGCUCAGGACAUGACUUCAGUGGUAGCUACCACUGAAGUCAUGUCAUCUGGAUUGAUGGGAAGAAUUUGGGGGUUUCAGCAACCUGAGGGGACUUUACAGUAUAAAAUUAAAACCUUACACAUAGUGGGUGUUCUAUUGGCUCCAGUAUUUUGGACUCAGUAUGUUUACAUUUGAUUACUUCUGUGCUAACAAAAUUAUAAAUAGAUAAAAGCCACUUCUCCUCCAGAUAUAUAUUCCUGGCACGGUGGAGAAGGCUCUGAAGCUGCAUUUAGACCUUCAUGCUGGGAAAUAAGAUUUAGAGGAAAUCUAACAAAAGACUUCACAUGAAUAUAAAAACUUUCCAUUUAGGAUUAUGAAUUUCCUAAAGGUGGUGGAGCGUAAGCUGCAGUGUCUUCACUGACCUGUGGAGAGAACAGGCAUGUCCCUCCACACAGGAGAACAUUCAUAGAGUUAUCAGGUAGAACAAUACUAUCAGUGCAUUAAGGCUUUUACUUAUAACCACGGUGGGGUAGGGAUUGAACCAAUAAAAGGGAUAUUUAUAAAGCAGAUGGGGAGCACUGAUCGAACAAGAAUCCUGUUGAACUCACGACUCCACAUGGUGCAACGUUAGCAAGUGAACUGAGACAUUCAGGAGGAAUAUUGAAGCCAUGUAACACUGAAAAUAGCGUUAUACGACUUUCUGUUGGCCAACAUUACAGCCACACAGUGACACAUCCUCCGGCUCAUUAUAUCAUAUCAGGAGCGACACGUCUGCUUCACAAUGACAGUCAUUAAAUUACAGGAGCAGAAAUGUCCACAACAUCCAAGCUGUCAUCAAAGUCCGUUUGACGUCGCCGCUCAGACCAAUUGAUCCCGAGCGACUCUCUCUGACAGCUCCGUUAACGUCCAACGACAACGGAAAAGCGUUAACGGUAAAGUUUACACAUUUUAACUCCACCAAUUGGUGACAGAAGAGGGAAGAAGCUGUAGACGGGCAGACAUAAAUGAGUAUUAGCCUCUAGCUUCAUCUCACCUGUUCAGUAUUGCGGCGGUUGUUUGAUCAGGAUGCUGCUGCCGCCGCCUCACGCACGCGAGUCAUUAAAGUGUCACCGCCGGCCCGUGCUGGAGCCGGUAGGUGGAGCGCGUGAAGCAGGUUUGGCGCAGUGCUCGGAGAGAUUUCUGGGAAAUGUAGUUUUUGUGUUAGACGCUGGGAAUUGGUGAAAUUACAGGUUUUCCAAGUGUACAUUCAAAGAUAUUUUAUAUAUACGUCUAAAAUCGUUCAUGUCUGUGUAUUUAGGACUACUUACUUAUUGUUUUUUUUUUUUAUUAUUGAAUUUCUUGAUGGGAAUGAAUUAUAUAUACUGUCAGUGGAAUGAAUGCUGGACAUGGGAUAGUCUUUCAUAUCUUCUGUACCAAAUGUGUCAACAAAACUGCCUCCACACUGAAAUACGCGGCAAAUAAAAAUCAAUCACAUGCAAACAGACCCGACCAUACCAUAUUAAGUCUUUAUGCCAAUUUGGAGGCAGUGCAGUCUUUUGUUGUUGUAUUGGAUUGUAUGGGUUUUAGUAAUAUUUUGUCAUCCCUUAUAGAAUUACCGCAUCUCUGACGCAUUUGCAAUAAAAACAAAAUGUAGGCCGAUACAUUCACACAGCACAGAUAUAGGAUUUAUUUCAGAUGAUUCUGAGGUGUUUCUAAUAUCAGAUUUAAAUUAUUAUACUAAAACCAUAAGAUGAUUCAUGAUAGUAUACCCCUAUUGAUACAGGCUAAGUGAGGCGCAACGCGUGUAUAGUCCAAUACAAUUCAACAAUACACGAACUACUAACUCCAAAAUGAUCAUAAAGUUUCAACAAAAACAUUGCAUAACACCGAUGAAGGUCCGAUUUACCGCAGGGUGAUGUCGAAGUCACGUUGGUAGGUUGUGUCGAAUGUGCUGACACGAACUUAAAUAAAUCCCAUGAUGAGAGAAAA